rnacentral:rRNA from 1 species
AGUGAACGCUGGCGGUAGGCCUAACUCAUGCAAGUCGAACGGCAGCACAGUAAGAGCUUGCUCUUACGGGUGGCGAGUGGCGGACGGGUGAGGAAUACAUCGGAAUCUACUUUUUCGUGGGGGAUAACGUAGGUAAACUUACGCUAAUACCGCAUACGACCUACGGGUGAAAGCAGGGGAUCUUCGGACCUUGCGCGAUUGAAUGAGCCGAUGUCGGAUUAGCUAGUUGGCGGGGUAAAGGCCCACCAAGGCGACGAUCCGUAGCUGGUCUGAGAGGAUGAUCAGCCACACUGGAACUGAGACACGGUCCAGACUCCUACGGGAGGCAGCAGUGGGGAAUAUUGGACAAUGGGCGCAAGCCUGAUCCAGCCAUACCGCGUGGGUGAAGAAGGCCUUCGGGUUGUAAAGCCCUUUUGUUGGGAAAGAAAAGCAGCAGGUUAAUACCCCGCUGUUCUGACGGUACCCAAAGAAUAAGCACCGGCUAACUUCGUG